rnacentral:rRNA from 1 species
GACGGGGGGGGCAAGUGUUCUUCGGAAUGACUGGGCGUAAAGGGCGCGUAGGCGGUUAUAUAAGAUAGAUGUGAAAUCCCUGGGCUUAACCUAGGAACGGCAUCUAAGACUGUAUAACUGGAGUAUUGUAGAGGGUAGUGGAAUUUCCGGUGUAGCGGUGAAAUGCGUAGAGAUCGGAAGGAACGCCAGUGGCGAAGGCGGCUACCUGGACAAAUACUGACGCUGAGGCGCGAGAGCGUGGGGAGCAAACAGG